rnacentral:tRNA from 1 species
GCCGGCGUAGCUCAGUGGUGGAGCGAGGGACUCAUAAACCCUAGGUCGAAGGUUCGAUUCCUUCCGUCGGCACCA